AAGACUAUAGACCUGCGGAGUACCUGCGGAAGGAUCAUUAUAGAGUGGUAAACCCCCCGUAAAAGGGGGGGACCUCCUGUCCUUUGUAGGCUCUUUUUUAAAAGGGCUUUUUUUAAUUUUCUGCUUCGGUGGGGUUAUCCCACCGGAACAACCUCAAAACUCUUAUCAAAAAAUCGUUCUGUCUGAGAACCUUUUAUAAUAAAAAAAAACUUUUAGCAAUGGAUCUCUAGAUCGGAAGAG
rnacentral:misc_RNA from 1 species